rnacentral:rRNA from 1 species
UACGAAGGGGGCUAGCGUUGUUCGGAAUUACUGGGCGUAAAGCGCACGUAGGCGGAUAUUUAAGUCGGGGGUGAAAUCCCGGGGCUCAACCCCGGAACUGCCUUCGAUACUGGGUAUCUUGAGUUCGGAAGAGGUGAGUGGAAUUGCGAGUGUAGAGGUGAAAUUCGUAGAUAUUCGGAAGAACACCAGUGGCGAAGGCGGCUGACUGGACAUGUAUUGACGCUGAGGUGCGAAAGCGUGGGGAGCAAACAGGG